rnacentral:rRNA from 1 species
AACGAACGCUGGCGGCAGGCUUAACACAUGCAAGUCGAACGCCCCGCAAGGGGAGUGGCAGACGGGUGAGUAACGCGUGGGAAUCUACCCAUCCCUACGGAAUAACGCAUGGAAACGUGUGCUAAUACCGUAUACGCCCUACGGGGGAAAGAUUUAUCGGGGAUGGAUGAGCCCGCGUUGGAUUAGCUAGUUGGUGGGGUAAAGGCCUACCAAGGCGACGAUCCAUAGCUGGUCUGAGAGGAUGAUCAGCCACAUUGGGACUGAGACACGGCCCAAACUCCUACGGGAGGCAGCAGUGGGGAAUAUUGGACAAUGGGCGCAAGCCUGAUCCAGCCAUGCCGCGUGAGUGAUGAAGGCCUUAGGUUUGUAAAGCUCUUUCACCGGAGAAGAUAAUGACGGUAUCCGGAGAAGAAGCCCCGGCUAACUUCGUG